rnacentral:rRNA from 1 species
AUGGCCGAGAGCUCCCUGUCGCCGCGCCCGUCGCUGCACGCCGGCACGCUCAAAAGGUACUCCGCCGAGACCUGGCUCCAAGAACGUACGGUCAUGUUCGGCGACGCGGUGCGGAUGAACUUCUACGCGUGCCCGCGGCCGGACCCGGUGCUGGGGCUCAGCGCGCGCUCCGACGGAAGCACGGUCACCAUGCUCCAGCAUUAUGCUGGACGCACAGGACUGCAGUCAACCUCCGCGACUCGCUCUGCCUCUGAGGUGCUCACGAACGGCAGCGUCGAGCUCCUCCGGGCAGUGACCGACAGCGAGAAGGACCGGCCGUCCAUAGUGUCCUUCUAUACGCCGACCUACGUUGUCGAGCUCGGCCAUCUGGCAGAGCUCGUUGCCGACGGCGAGCCAUGCCCGGAGGUACAACCACGUUUCAGCACUUCCCAAAAAAUGAGAUUCACAUACGAUUAUGCUGCGAGAAUCACUCCAAAUCAGGCCAACAAGCCACUAAGAGUGCUAGGUGCUGACCGGCCUAAUGUUCGAUAG